rnacentral:rRNA from 1 species
AGGGAAUCUUCGGCAAUGGACGAAAGUCUGACCGAGCAACGCCGCGUGAGUGAAGAAGGUUUUCGGAUCGUAAAACUCUGUUGGUAGAGAAGAACGUUGGUGAGAGUGGAAAGCUCAUCAAGUGACGGUAACUACCCAGAAAGGGACGGCUAACUACGUGCCAGCAGCCGCGGUAAUACGUAGGUCCCGAGCGUUGUCCGGAUUUAUUGGGCGUAAAGCGAGCGCAGGUGGUUUAUUAAGUCUGGUGUAAAAGGCAGUGGCUCAACCAUUGUAUGCAUUGGAAACUGGUAGACUUGAGUGCAGGAGAGGAGAGUGGAAUUCCAUGUGUAGCGGUGAAAUGCGUAGAUAUAUGGAGGAACACCGGUGGCGAAAGCGGCUCUCUGGCCUGUAACUGACACUGAGGCUCGAAAGCGUGGGGAGCAAACAGGAUUAGAUACCC